rnacentral:rRNA from 1 species
AGACUGGAUAGGAAAUAAAAAGGCAUCUUUUUAUUUUUAAAAGACCUUUUUCGGAAGGUAUGCUUAAAGAGGGGCUUGCGUCACAUUAGUUAGUUGGCAGGGUAAAGGCCUACCAAGACUAUGAUGUGUAGCUGGACUGAGAGGUUGAACAGCCACAUUGGGACUGAGACACGGCCCAAACUCCUACGGGAGGCAGCAGUAGGGAAUUUUCGGCAAUGGAGGAAACUCUGACCGAGCAACGCCGCGUGAACGAUGAAGUAUUUCGGUAUGUAAAGUUCUUUUAUUGAAGAAGAAAAAAUAGUGGAAAAACUAUCUUGACGAUAUUCAAUGAAUAAGCCCCGGCAAACUAUGUGCCAGCAGCCGCGGUAAUACAUAGGGGGCGAGCGUUAUCCGGAAUUAUUGGGCGUAAAGGGUGCGUAGGCGGUUUAAUAAGUCUAUAGUUUAAUUUCAGUGCUUAACACUGUCCUGCUAUAGAAACUAUUAGACUAGAGUGAGAUAGAGGCAAGUGGAAUUCCAUGUGUAGCGGUAAAAUGCGUAAAUAUAUGGAGGAACACCAGAGGCGUAGGCGGCUUGCUGGGUCUUUACUGACGCUGAGGCACGAAAGCGUGGGGAGCAAACAGGAUUAGAUACCCUGGUAGUCCACGCCGUAAACGAUGAGUACUAAGUGUCGGGAUUACUCGGUACUGAAGUUAACACAUUAAGUACUCCGCCUGAGUAGUACGUACGCAAGUAUGAAACUUAAAGGAAUUGACGGGACUCCGCACAAGCGGUGGAUCAUGUUGUUUAAUUCGAAGAUACACGAAAAACCUUACCAGGUCUUGACAUACUCUGCAAAGCUAUAGCAAUAUAGUGGAGGUUAUCAGGGAUACAGGUGGUGCAUGGUUGUCGUCAGCUCGUGUCGUGAGAUGUUAGGUUAAGUCCUAAAACGAGCGCAACCCUUGUCAUUAGUUGCCAGCAUGUCAYGAUGGGCACUUUAAUGAGACUGCCAAUGAAAAAUUGGAGGAAGGUGAGGAUCACGUCAAAUCAUCAUGCCCCUUAUGAUCUGGGCUACAAACGUGAUACAAUGGCUGUUACAAAGAGUAGCUGAAACGCAAGUUUAUAGCCAAUCUCAUAAAAGCAGUCUCAGUUCGGAUUGAAGUCUGCAACUCGACUUCAUGAAGUUGGAAUCGCUAGUAAUCGCGAAUCAGCAUGUCGCGGUGAAUACGUUCUCGGGGUUUG